rnacentral:misc_RNA from 1 species
GAUGAAGAACGCAGCGAAAUGCGAUAAGUAAUGUGAAUUGCAGAAUUCAGUGAAUCAUCGAAUCUUUCAACGCACAUUGCGCCCCCUGGUAUUCCGGGGGGCAUGCCUGUCCGAGCGUCAUUACAACCCUCAAGCUCAGCUUGGUAUUGGGCCCCGCCGACCCGGCGGGCCCUAAAGUCAGUGGCGGUGCCGUCCGGCUCCGAGCGUAGUAAUUCUUCUCGCUCUGGAGGUCCGGUCGUGUGCUCGCCAGCAACCCCCAAUUUUUUUCAGGUUGACCUCGGAUCAGGUAGGGAUACCCGCUGAACUUAAGCAUAUCAAUAAGCGGAGGA